GAGCCAGCCACCAGGUCAGACAUGCUGAAUCUUUUCCGGUUUUAUGGAAGUGAACCUGCAGCACAAGCUCUUCCAGUGGGAAGCUGCUGCAAAGAUGAAGACGCCCAUUUCAAAGGACCCACUAGGACUAGCACUCGCCUAGCAACUCGGUGGAAGGGAGGAAUGAAAUCCUGAGGUGUCCUCCAUCUGCGCAGGCUCGCGGUUUCAUGCCCACCCACGCACAUACAGUAAGAAGCGCACUAUUCACCAGUUGCUUCCACUGACGGCAGAGCACCAGGUUGUCUUCCCUGAGCUCCUAUGGUAACUAGCACUGCGGUGAGCAGCCUCCAGCUUGCACAGAAACCGUCCAAGAAAUGCAACUGUUGGAGGCUCGCGAUGUGGCAAAGGUGACAGUGUUUGCAUCCAUGAAAGCCUGGGAGCCAUCCCCAGCACUGCCCACAACCAGGUAUGACAGAGGAGUCUUGUAAAGUUAGCACUCCGAAGUCGAAGGCAGGAGGAUCCGAAGCUCAAGGCUAUGCUUGGGCUAUGUGAAAAUCACCUCAAGGGGCUGGAGAGAUGGCUCAGAGGUUAAGAGCAUUACUUGCUCUUCCAAAGGUCCUGAGUUCAAUUCCCAGCAACUACAUGGUGGCUCACAAC